GACGAACGCUGGCGGCGUGCUUAACACAUGCAAGUCGAACGGUGAAGGGACCAGCUUGCUGGUUCUGGAUGAGUGGCGAAAGGGUGAGUAACACGUGAGUAACCUGCCCCCUUCUUCUGGAUAACCGCAUGAAAGUGUGGCUAAUACGGGAUAUUCUGGGUCUGUCGCAUGGCGGGCCCGGGAAAGAUAUUGCUUCGGUUGGGGGUGGGCUCGCGGCCUAUCGGCUUGUUGGUGGGGUGAUGGCCUACCAAGGCGGUGACGGGUAGCCGGCCUGAGAGGGGGGACGGUGACACUGGGACUGAGACACGGCCCAGACUCCUACGGGAGGCAGAGGUGGGGAAUAUUGAACAAUGGGAGCAAGCCUGAUGCAGCGACGCCGCGUGAGGGAUGGAGGCCUUCGGGUUGUAAACCUCUUUCGCCAGUGAAGCAGGCCUGCUCCUUGUGGGUGGGUUGACGGUAGCUGGAUAAGAAGCGCCGGCUAACUACGUG
rnacentral:rRNA from 1 species